UACGUAGGGGGCUAGCGUUGUCCGGAUUUAUUGGGUUUAAAGGGUGCGUAGGCGGUCCUAUAAGUCAGUGCUGAAAUAUCCCGGCUUAACCGGGAGGGUGGCAUUGAUACUGCAGGACUUGAGUGAAGUCGAGGUAGGCGGAAUUGACGGUGUAGCGGUGAAAUGCUUAGAUAUCGUCAAGAACACCGAUAGUGAAGACAGCUUACUAGACUUCAACUGACGCUGAGGCACGAAAGUGUGGGGAUCAAACAGG
rnacentral:rRNA from 1 species